AGCUUAAAAAGAUAAAUUCUUCCAGACAAAGAAAUAAUUCCUCAUUAAAGUACAAGAGAACUCUUGCAGUAGUACUUCAGAGAAAAUCAGUUACAAGCCAGGAAGAGAUGACCUUGGAAGUCCAUAAAUCAAUGUGACAGGACACAUAAGGCAACACAAAGAAAGAUUCAGGAAGAUUUUCUAUGAAUGCUGAAAAGUCUCACCUUUGAAAGCAAGUUGCCAUUAUGCUCCUAACUUUGUAAAAUCUACUUUGAGUGAGUAUUUAACAAGCUUUUGGAACAAGUACGUUUCAUACACUUACUUCGAAUAAAG